AUGUCCGCAUGGAGGGCCCUGUACGCAGAGCCUCAACAUGAGUGCAAUACGUACGGCUACUGCGGUCCUUAUGGUUACUGCGACAACACACAAAUCGUCCCGGUUUGCAAGUGCCUUGACGGUUUUGAACCGAGGGAUGCUAAAGGAUGGAUCUCCGGUAGCUUCUCACAGGGAUGCCGCCCCAAGGAGGUGCCAAGGUGCACCCAUGGAGACAGUUUCUUGGCCUUUCCGGGCAUGAAGGUCCCGGACAAGUUCCUUCGUGUCCCGAGCAGAAGCUUUGAUGAGUGCACCGAGGAAUGCAGAAGCAAUUGCUCCUGCGUGGCAUAUGCUUACUCCAAGAUGAGCAACAUAGAUAUUGACGGGGAUGACACAAGAUGCCUGUUAUGGAUAGGCGAUUUUAUCGACAUGGAGAACAACCAUCAAGGAGGGGAGAACCUCUAUGUUCGGACUAAAAGAUUGCAAGGUAACAUGAGAAAGAUCAAAACCAUAGAAAUUGUAUUACCAGUUGUGUCAAGUUUUCUGAUACUCAUAUGCGUGGGGCUUCUUUGGAUCUGUGGCUUUAGAGGCAAUCAAGGAAGCAAGCUUGUCUGGGAAAGGUUGAUGCGUCGAGAUACAGGAAAUUACAAUCAGUUCGCUGAUGGUAACACGGAGUUUCCCAUUUUGAACUUUAGGGAAAUUGCUACCGCGACAAAUAAUUUCUCUGAAUCCAACAUCCUUGGCAAAGGAGGGUUUGGCAAUGUUUAUAAGGGAACGUUGGAAGAUGGUAAGGAAAUUGCUGUGAAAAGGCUUCGUGUAGGUUCUGUCCAAGGGGCAGUGGAGUUCAAAAAUGAAAUAGCUCUAAUUUCCAGGUUGCAUCAUAGAAACUUGGUCAAACUUAUAGGCUGCAGUAUUCAUGAAGACGAAAAGCUUUUGAUUUAUGAAUACCUACCUAACCGAAGUCUGGAUUACUUCAUUUUCAAUGAUAGAAGAAAAUCACUGCUCAAUUGGCCCACAAGAUUUAAGAUAAUCGCUGGUGUAGCCAGGGGACUUCUUUAUCUCCACUAA
rnacentral:rRNA from 1 species